UAAGUUUAAUUUAACUGGGUUGAGUCACAUAUAUUUUUUUAGAUGUGACGACUUGAAGAAUUUUGAAGAAUUCUUAGGUUGAACUAACGUUUCACUUUCCUAGUGUAUAUUGUGCAAAACAUACUCAUUGGAAAUUAAGUCAGAUAUUUGCUGAAUGUGUGACAUUUUGUGUUGUGUUUAUUAAUUUUUUUCACCAUACCUUCUCUUGUAAAACCGAUGCCAGUCUCUCAAAAUAAUUUCUCAAUGUCGCUGUUCUGGCAGAGACGCCAGAGGGGUCAGAAUCGUCACUCCCUGACGUGCUUCCUCCCGCCUGAAAUUGGCAUCCAAGACCCACCGAACAAAAUCAGUUUUUUAAAUUCUAUGUUUCACCAUCAAUCAUGAAAUACAACCAUGGAUCUAACCUAGAUAUUUUAUUUAGCAUGGAAAAUGGGCAAUUCAGUCGCAAUGUAUUUAAUGAUCAAACAUUUUUCAGCCUGCAGCAGACAAUGUAGCCCAAUACGCACCGAAUAUGCAUAUUACAUUUCAGGGCUUAAACUACUUACACAUUUGCUUUUCUCAGCCUGGCGGUAGAUGAUAUUUUGAAAAUCCUGCAACUUGAUUUCAUCCCACUCCGUCGGGAAAUCGUCGUUUUCAAACAGAGAGUUGAUGCUGUACAGAGUUUCAUAAAUGACAGUCCGAAUGAUGUUGCUCUGCUGUGAGAGAAUAAAAAAACGGAUCAUCAUGAUCGAAGAACAAGGUGUUCAUUGUUUUAAAUACGGCGUUCCCUCGGACUCAGGUGAAGGCUGCAGUUUUGAGAGCGCGCUCUUACCCCAGCGGUUCCAUUCGACGCAAAAGCGGACCUUGGAAAAGGUACGCGGACAUUCUCCUUGAUGCACUGUUGCGGGAAAUUUCCCCCCUAAUAUAGAACAUGGGGAAAUAAUGACCAAUAAGUAUUUCUUUCUUUGCGUGUUUAGGAGAGGACAUGAAAAAUGCAUGUUUAAAAAUGUACCAUGUCUUUCAGAAGAUUGUAACUCGUCUUUAUAAGGUGUCCAUCCAGCUGGCAUUUUAUGGGCGCACUUAAAACCUGUGAAAUGCAGAACAGGGCGCACAACCAGGCGGUGCUCUCAAGUGCCAUGUUCAUAGUUUGUUGAGUGACCUGUACCAAAAGAAUAAUGGAACACUGAAAUAUUGUCCCAUGAUAAAAGAGUAAUGAAUAAGAACAAUAUCAAACGCUUAAAAAUGGAUUACCUUUUUGUAGUAGGUUGUACUUGAUUUUCCAGCAGUGUGGUUUGACUCCCGAAUUCAUAUCUUUCAGCGGCUUUUAUACUAUAAAGAUCCUUGUGUAAAAAAAGUGAAAGUAUAAACCCAAAAAUGCAAUUAAAGUGAACUUAGUUUGGAAAGAAUAACCCACAGGGAUUCCGUUUUCGGGUUCAGUUCCCCUUCUAAGCGUUAUAAUAGAUGCAAGGCGCAUCUGAGGCAGUUUACAGUUUUUUUGUCAAUUUCGAAAAGCAGGUGCUGCAUUUGCGUUCAUUUUUUAAUUAAAUGACGACACUCUUUACGUAACCAGACAGUCACUAACAUGGAACUCGCAGCGUAAGAGGAACAGUGGAUGGCCCAUGAACCGUUGGGAGAUCUCAGUCUCAUCAGGGUACAAGGAUAGCACUAGAAUGAACUGGGGAAAGUAGCUUAGAACAGAGUGAGAUGGGGACGCAUCAUAUAUGUCCUGUUCUUUUGGGUCUGAAUCUAGUCAGAUUUAAAUGGGAAUUAAAUCCAGAAACUGAUAUGGCGCGCCCUUGACUUGAGCCCUCAAAUUUAAGCCCUCGUUGAGGGAGAGCUCUCCUUUUAAGCAUGCCAUAAUAUCACCAGCCAAUCAUUCUAGGGCUCGAGGAGUGGUAGGUUAAACCAGACAGUAUGAUAAAUGAACGCGACACUUAGGAACUCACUUUUGAAGUCAUCGUCAUUUGGACACCUCUGAAUGACUUAACUACCAAAGGCUGUGCGUCUCAUGAGGCGUCCGACAGCUGGUGUUUCCGGGAUGGUAGUCUUGGUACGAUUUAACAGAACUAUCCUUUGUUCAGUAUUGUACCGAUUUGGUAGCCCGAUAAAGAUGCAAUGCGUAUUUGGCCAGCAACGUAUGUACACCGUAGGCUACCAGAAUAUAGCCUACAUUAAAAUCAUCUAUUUUAAUGUCUUUAAUGCCUUUUCUCGGUACCGCCGUUGCAUUGAGUCGGAAUAAACAGCAAAAAUGGCACUUACAAUUCUAUUGCACGAACUGUAGGUUCGCCUGUUAGCAUGCUUGUACAAAUGGUCAAAUGUCUAAUGUCAUGAUCAAAUAAAUAGAUCUGAAGUUUCAAGAUGGUCCAUGUACCCAAGAUGUAUGUGCUGACUUGUGUCCGCUAAUCUCUGUCAAAAAUAGUUGUUGACAAAAUGUACAAGUUUAUCCAUAUUUUUUCUCAAAUGUUAAUGAUCAAUAAAGGUGUUGGACACAAUUAUGGAAACACUUAACAAUAUAUGAAUAUGAAGUAGCUAAUAAGGUAUAUGUCCACGCAUCAUCUUCAGAAUUUUUUCUUUAGUAGUGCGUGUGAGGGCGUUAUCAUCUUGGAAUAUGGGGACGUCAUGAGGGAACUGCGAUUGUACUGUAGGGUGCCCCUGGUCUUGUAAAAUUGCUUUAAUAUUCCUUUGGCUAUUACAGGUGUGUGCAGAGCAAUCAUCACACCCAAUGGCUCCCGUGAGAGCUACCCAUACCAUUGCAGAUCCUCCACCAUUUUAACAGUUGGCAACAGACAUUGCGGGUUGAUGGAGCCCCUUUCCCUUUGCCUUUCUCCAAACAUAAACCCAUGCAGGUGCAGGAAAACAGUGAAGGGUGGCUCAUCUGAAAUAGGCUGUUCCUUUUUUUCACAGGGGUCCAGGUUUUGUUCUCCUUAUGGCGGAUUAUUCAUCCUUGGGCAGUAACCUUCCAUUCAUGUGGUUUCUGAAAGGGGGCCCCGCCAAAAAUGCUAGCUUUACGAAGCUUAUGAUAUACAGUUUUGUCGAGAUUGGGUCGCAGAGGUGUUUCAGCUCUGUGGUAGUUUUUGAAACCGUAUUAUCUAGUGUCUGUCUGUCCCUCUCGCUGAGCUUUGAUUUGCGACUACUGUUUCUCAUUGCCAAUGCCGUUCGUUUGUGAGCGGUGGUGGUUUCAACUUCCCAACCCUGUUCCUGGAGAUCUACCAUCCUGGGCUGCGUUUCUGAGUUUCGAUGUACCUUAACAUUCUACGAAGGUUUCUAAGGUAUACCUUUCAAUGGCAAACCACUUUUUUACGAGUGUUUCCCAGACCAUACCUUAACGGCUGCCUUAAGGGACACUUCCAAAGGUACGUCGUAAGUUGGCGCUGGCCUUCACUGUGGUGCUGAAAAAUGUAUCAAUUGAUGCCAAGCGAAUCGAUUGUCAUAUCAUGCUUUCAUUUUCAUCACUGUUCCCCAUGCCCCUUUAAAUCUUCUUGCAGUUUAACUUUUUUGUUGUUGUUGUUUUUUUACUUAAAAGGGAGGGUUAAGCACAGUCUGCUUUUUCAUUCAGAAUGCGGCCACCUUUAUUACCCUUUAUGCAGUCUAUAUUCCCCUCCAUGUCUGGAUUGUAGAAUUUAUAAACUGGAAUCCAAAAGGGAAAUCGAAACUGAAACUGGAAAUAUCAAACACAUUAAGUUAUGUGGGGCUUACUUGACUUAAAUUUUUGAUGACAAAACUCUGGAUUCGUAAGGUACAUGUUCUGGAAAUGCCCGUGACGUGUUGUAAUGUGUUGCCGUGUUUUAAUGUCUUUUGUAAAAAUCACGUUUUUUUAAUUGGAUUUUUAUUAUUAUUAUUAUUAUUAUUAUUAUUAUUAUUAUUAUUAUUAAUUGUAUGUUAUUGUUUUGCGUUACUGCUUCCUUAGGAUGUUGGAUUCAAGGAAACGUACUAAGUUUACUCCCUCUUCGCUGUCCAUCACUAUAGGUAGUGAGGGACAGCGUUAAUUUUGAGCCCUUGUGGUUAUCUUUCUUCCGUAAUGUAGCUUGUUAGUUGUGGAGAGGUGGACGUUCGAGUUCGCCAUGGUACAGACGUGUUAAUUUGAGCUGUUGGUCUCGUGCAAUAAGGGGAAUCAUCUCGAACGAGGGUGUUCAUUUCUUUUGUCAUUGUUAAUUGUAACUAUGUAAGCCUAAAUGCACGUACGAUACAAGCACGUAUUUCUAACAUCGAUCUUGAAAAAUCGACUUUUAAAAGAGCCUAUGAAUCGGUCUUAAACUUGAAUGUACCGACUUGGAACUUAAUCAGACGAUUUUAAAUAUCUCUCGAAAAGUCUCUCGAAAUGUAUUAAUUUGCAAUUAUGUGAUAAUGAUAAUUUUAUUGAUACUCUAACGGUAUUACAACGGGUAGUCCACACGAGUUCACUACUGUUUACCCCAAUAUUCUCUGAAUUUGAAAUGAAAUGGCCAUCGUAUUCUACAGCUUCGCGAGUGCACGCUUAUC